rnacentral:rRNA from 1 species
CAUCCUCCAAGGCUAAAUACUCCUGACUGACCGAUAGUGAACCAGUACCGUGAGGGAAAGGCGAAAAGAACCCCGGCGAGGGGAGUGAAAAAGAACCUGAAACCGUGUACGUACAAGCAGUGGGAGCCCCACCACCAAAGCAUUCUCUGGUGUUGAAGGCCCUGCAAAGCAGCAUCGCGGUGGCGGAGCGUCGUUUGCGACGCCCAACACACAAAACAAGCGGUGAGUGCUUUGGGGUGGGGUGACUGCGUACCUUUUGUAUAAUGGGUCAGCGACUUAUAUUCUGUAGCAAGGUUAACCGUAUAGGGGAGCCGUAGGGAAACCGAGUCUUAACCGGGCGUUAAGUUGCAGGGUAUAGACCCGAAACCCGGUGAUCUAGCCAUGGGCAGGUUGAAGGUUGGGUAACACUAACUGGAGGACCGAACCGACUAAUGUUGAAAAAUUAGCGGAUGACUUGUGGCUGGGGGUGAAAGGCCAAUCAAACCGGGAGAUAGCUGGUUCUCCCCGAAAGCUAUUUAGGUAGCGCCUCGUGAAUUCAUCUUCGGGGGUAGAGCACUGUUUCGGCUAGGGGGUCAUCCCGACUUACCAACCCGAUGCAAACUGCGAAUACCGGAGAAUGUUAUCACGGGAGACACACGGCGGGUGCUAACGUCCGUCGUGAAGAGGGAAACAACCCAGACCGCCAGCUAAGGUCCCAAAGUCAUGGUUAAGUGGGAAACGAUGUGGGAAGGCCCAGACAGCCAGGAUGUUGGCUUAGAAGCAGCCAUCAUUUAAAGAAAGCGUAAUAGCUCACUGGUCGAGUCGGCCUGCGCGGAAGAUGUAACGGGGCUAAACCAUGCACCGAAGCUGCGGCAGCGACACUGUGUGUUGUUGGGUAGGGGAGCGUUCUGUAAGCCUGUGAAGGUGGCCUGUGAGGGUUGCUGGAGGUAUCAGAAGUGCGAAUGCUGACAUAAGUAACGAUAAAGCGGGUGAAAAGCCCGCUCGCCGGAAGACCAAGGGUUCCUGUCCAACGUUAAUCGGGGCAGG